GAUGAAGAACGCAGCGAAAUGCGAUAAGUAAUGUGAAUUGCAGAAUUCAGUGAAUCAUCGAAUCUUUGAACGCACAUUGCGCCCCCUGGUAUUCCGGGGGGCAUGCCUGUUCGAGCGUCAUUUCACCACUCAAGCCUCGCUUGGUAUUGGGCAUCGCGGUCCGCCGCGCGCCUCAAAUCGACCGGCUGGGUCUUCUGUCCCCUAAGCGUUGUGGAAACUAUUCGCUAAAGGGUGUUCGGGAGGCUACGCCGUAAAACAACCCCAUUUCUAAGGUUGACCUCCGAUCAGGUAGGGAUACCCGCUGAACUUAAGCAUAUCAAUAAGCGGAGGA
rnacentral:misc_RNA from 1 species